rnacentral:rRNA from 1 species
ACGCUGGCGGCAGGCCUAACACAUGCAAGUCNAGCGGAAACGACACUAACAAUCCUUCGGGUGCGUUAAUGGGCGUCGAGCGGCGGACGGGUGAGUAAUGCCUAGGAAAUUGCCUUGAUGUGGGGGAUAACCAUUGGAAACGAUGGCUAAUACCGCAUAAUGCCUACGGGCCAAAGAGGGGGANCUUCGGACCUCUCGCGUCAAGAUAUGCCUAGGUGGGAUUAGCUAGUUGGUGAGGUAAUGGCUCACCAAGGCGACGAUCCCUAGCUGGUCUGAGAGGAUGAUCAGCCACACUGGAACUGAGACACGGUCCAGACUCCUACGGGAGGCAGCAGUGGGGAAUAUUGCACAAUGGGCGAAAGCCUGAUGCAGCCAUGCCGCGUGUAUGAAGAAGGCCUUCGGGUUGUAAAGUACUUUCAGUUGUGAGGAAGGGGGUAACGUUAAUAGCGUUAUCUCUUGACGUUAGCAACAGAAGAAGCACCGGCUAACUCCGUGCCAGCAGCCGCGGUAAUACGGAGGGUGCGAGCGUUAAUCGGAAUUACUGGGCGUAAAGCGCAUGCAGGUGGUUCAUUAAGUCAGAUGUGAAAGCCCGGGGCUCAACCUCGGAACUGCAUUUGAAACUGGUGAACUAGAGUGCUGUAGAGGGGGGUAGAAUUUCAGGUGUAGCGGUGAAAUGCGUAGAGAUCUGAAGGAAUACCAGUGGC